AGUGAACGCUGGCGGUAGGCCUAACACAUGCAAGUCGAACGGCAGCACAGUAAGAGCUUGCUCUUACGGGUGGCGAGUGGCGGACGGGUGAGGAAUACAUCGGAAUCUACUUUUUCGUGGGGGAUAACGUAGGGAAACUUACGCUAAUACCGCAUACGACCUACGGGUGAAAGCAGGGGAUCUUCGGACCUUGCGCGAUUGAAUGAGCCGAUGUCGGAUUAGCUAGUUGGCGGGGUAAAGGCCCACCAAGGCGACGAUCCGUAGCUGGUCUGAGAGGAUGACCAGCCACACUGGAACUGAGACACGGUCCAGACUCCUACGGGAGGCGGCAGUGGGGAAUAUUGGACAAUGGGCGCAAGCCUGAUCCAGCCAUACCGCGUGGGUGAAGAAGGCCUUCGGGUUGUAAAGCCCUUUUGUUGGGAAAGAAAAGCAGCAGGUUAAUACCCCGCUGUUCUGACGGUACCCAAAGAAUAAGCACCGGCUAACUUCGUG
rnacentral:rRNA from 1 species